rnacentral:rRNA from 1 species
UAGAGUUUGAUCCUGGCUCAGAUUGAACGCUGGCGGCACGCCUAACACAUGCAAGUCGAGCGGUAACAUGAUGUGUAUCAAUACACAUUGAUGACGAUCGGCGGACGGGUGAGGAACACGUAGGAACUUGCCCAGAAGAGGGGGAUAACCAAGGGAAACUUUGGCUAAUACCGCAUAAUACUCGGAAGAGGAAAGCUUUUGAUAGUAAUCUUGAAGGUGCUUUUGGAGAGGCCUGCGUCCGAUUAGCUAGUUGGUGAGGUAAUAGCUCACCAAGGCGAUGAUCGGUAACUGGUCUGAGAGGACGGCCAGUCAAAAUGGGACUGACACUCGGUCCCGACUCCUACAGGAUGCAACAGUGGGGAAUCUUGUACAAUGGGGGAGACCCUGAUCCAGCGAUGCCGCGCGUGUGAAGACGGCCUUCAGGUCAUAAAGCUCUUUAUGGUUGGAAGGAAAGCAUUAUGCUGUAUGCUAUUUGACGGUACUGCCCCAAUAUGCAACGGCAAGCUCGUGCCUGAAACUCCGGGAAUUGAAGGGGGCCCACACUUAUCGGAGAUACUGGGCUUAAAGGGCCCGCAAGCCAAAAAAUUAUUUUUAUGUUAAACCCCCCGCGAAUUACCUGAGAAAGUCCGCGCCACCUAAACGGAAUGCGCGAAUGGGGGGGGGUUGGGAAAUUCCCGCUGCGCGGGUAAAAUGUUAAGAAUUGANAGGAACUACGGCACCCGGGGUCCUCACUUGCCAUAUGAAAGGCGCGAGGCGCAAGAAGAGGANGUUAUAGACGGACAGGGGCGCGGGGACCGGGCCGGGGCGAAGGUGUGUGCGGGNNCCAGGGCACGCACACGAGUGGCGCCACUAAUCAUCCGCCGCCCAAUGCAGCAGGACCCUC